rnacentral:rRNA from 1 species
UACGUAGGGUGCGAGCGUUAAUCGGAAUUACUGGGCGUAAAGCGUGCGCAGGCGGUUAUACAAGACAGAUGUGAAAUCCCUGGGCUCAACCUAGGAAUUGCAUUUGUGACUGUAUGGCUAGAGUGUGUCAGAGGGGGGUAGAAUUCCAUGUGUAGCAGUGAAAUGCGUAGAUAUGUGGAGGAAUACCGAUGGCGAAGGCAGCCCCCUGGGAUAACACUGACGCUCAUGCACGAAAGCGUGGGGAGCAAAC